rnacentral:rRNA from 1 species
GACGAACGCUGGCGGCGUGCUUAACACAUGCAAGUCGAACGAUGAAGCCCAGCUUGCUGGGUGGAAGAGUGGCGAACGGGUGAGUAACACGUGAGUAACCUGCCCUGAACUCUGGGAUAAGCACUGGAAACGGUGUCUAAUACUGGAUACGACCUAUCACCGCAUGGUGUGUGGGUGGAAAGAUUUAUCGGUUCUGGAUGGACUCGCGGCCUAUCAGCUAGAUGGUGAGGUAAUGGCUCACCAUGGCGACGACGGGUAGCCGGCCUGAGAGGGUGACCGGCCACACUGGGACUGAGACACGGCCCAGACUCCUACGGGAGGCAGCAGUGGGGAAUAUUGCGCAAUGGGGGCAAGCCUGAUGCGACAACGCCGCGUGAGGGAUGACGGCCUUCGGGUUGUAAACCUCUUUUAGUGGGGAAGAAGCGAAAGUGACGGUACCUGCAGAAAAAGCACCGGCUAACUACGUG